GACAGCUUGUGUCAUCUCUUCCUUUACACAGACCUUCUGCUGUGCACCAGAUUCAAACCGGCAACCAGAGGGUGAGUGCAGCCAGAGAAAGCACUUGUGGGGGCUUGUGGGAUUUGUGGUCUACAUUUUAAGAGACACAGUUUGUAACACUGCAUGUAUUCUUCCAGGAAGCAGGACCAGUACUGGUUCAGCUGGUAUCUGCCUCUUGCUGGUCUCAAACUUUGCAGGGUUGGAGACCAAGAAUGUUCAUUAGACGCUAACCUUCGCUUACACACCAUAAGAACCAAGAUGUACAGUACCUCCUCCAACAAUAGCUGCAGCAACAUGCUAAGGUGUCCAAGGGCUUGGCUUUGUCAGCUCGGAGCAGGAAGAAACUGGAACAAU